AUAGCCAUUAUACGGCGAAACUGCGAAUGGCUCAUUAUAUAAGUUAUCGUUUAUUUGAUAGCACAUUACUACUUCGAUAACCGUGGUAAUUCUAGAGCUAAUACACGCUAAAAAUCCCGACUUCGGAAGGGAUGUAUUUAUUAGAUUAAAAACCAAUGCCCUCUGGGCUCUCUGGUGAAUCAUGAUAACUGCUCGAAUCGCAGGGCCUCGUGCCGGCGAUGGUUCAUUCAAAUUUCUUCCCUAUCAACUUUCGAUGUUUGGGUAUUGGCCAAACAUGGUUACAACGGGUAACGGAGGGUUAGGGCUCGACCCCGGAGAAGGAGCCUGAGAGACGGCUACUACAUCCAAGGAAGGCAGCAGGCGCGCAAAUUACCCAAUCCCGACACGGGGAGGUAGUGACAAUAAAUACUGAUACAGGGCUCUUUCGGGUCUUGUAAUUGGAAUGAGUACAAUUUAAAUCCCUUAACGAGGAACAAUUGGAGGGCAAGUCUGUGC
rnacentral:rRNA from 2 species